CACGUAGGGCGCAAGCGUUGUCCGGAAUUAUUGGGCGUAAAGAGCUCGUAGGCGGUCUGUUGCGUCUGCUGUGAAAACUCGGGGCUUAACCCCGAGCCUGCAGUGGAUACGGGCAGACUAGAGGUAGGUAGGGGAGAAUGGAAUUCCCGGUGUAGCGGUGAAAUGCGCAGAUAUCGGGAGGAACACCGGUGGCGAAGGCGAGUCCCUGGACAACACCUGACACUGAGGCACGAAAGCUAGGGGAGCAAACAGG
rnacentral:rRNA from 1 species